UUUCGAAAGAAAGAUUCUUUCCGGAUGGCAUAGUUUUCCCGCAUGGGAUAAUUAUUAAAGAAUUUCGGUUGUCGAUGGGGAUGCGUUCCAUUAGGCAGUUGGCGGGGUAACGGCCCACCAAACCAACGAUGGAUAGGGGUUCUGAGAGGAAGGUCCCCCACAUUGGAACUGAGACACGGUCCAAACUCCUACGGGAGGCAGCAGUGAGGAAUAUUGGUCAAUGGACGAGAGUCUGAACCAGCCAAGUAGCGUGAAGGAUGACUGCCCUAUGGGUUGUAAACUUCUUUUAUACGGGAAUAAAGUGAGCCACGUGUGGUUUUUUGUAUGUACCGUAUGAAUAAGGAUCGGCUAACUCCGUGCCAGCAGCCGCGGUAAUACGGAGGAUCCGAGCGUUAUCCGGAUUUAUUGGGUUUAAAGGGAGCGUAGGCGGGUUGUUAAGUCAGUUGUGAAAGUUUGCGGCUCAACCGUAAAAUUGCAGUUGAUACUGGCGACCUUGAGUGCAACAGAGGUAGGCGGAAUUCGUGGUGUAGCGGUGAAAUGCUUAGAUAUCACGAAGAACUCCGAUUG
rnacentral:rRNA from 1 species